rnacentral:rRNA from 1 species
UGCAGUGAUUGAUUAGUGGCGAACGGGUGAGUAACACGUGAGGAACUUGCCCAUGAGCGGGGGACAACAUUCGGAAACGGAUGCUAAUACCCCAUAGGUGGAUUGGUCGCAUGACGAAUUCAUUAAAGGUGGCUUUGCUACCACUCAUGGAUAGCCUCGCGGCGUAUUAGCUAGUUGGUAAGGUAAUGGCUUACCAAGGCAGUGAUACGUAGCCGACUUGAGAGGGUGAUCGGCCACACUGGGACUGAGACACGGCCCAGACUCCUACGGGAGGCAGCAGUAGGGAAUCUUCCACAAUGGGUGCAAACCUGAUGGAGCAAUGCCGCGUGAGUGAAGAAGGUCUUCGGAUCGUAAAGCUCUGUUGUUAGAGAAGAACACGUGCUAGGUAACUACUAGCGCCUUGACGGUAUCUAACCAGAAAGUCACGGCUAACUACGUGCCAGCAGCCGCGGUAAUACGUAGGUGACAAGCGUUGUCCGGAUUUAUUGGGCGUAAAGGGAGCGCAGGCGGUCUGUUUAGUCUAAUGUGAAAGCCCACGGCUUAACCGUGGAACGGCAUUGGAAACUGACAGACUUGAAUGUAGAAGAGGAAAAUGGAAUUCCAAGUGUAGCGGUGGAAUGCGUAGAUAUUUGGAGGAACACCAGUGGCGAAGGCGAUUUUCUGGUCUAACAUUGACGCUGAGGCUCGAAAGCGUGGGGAGCGA